UAGGGAAUCUUCGGCAAUGGACGAAAGUCUGACCGAGCAACGCCGCGUGAGUGAAGAAGGUUUUCGGAUCGUAAAACUCUGUUGUUAGAGAAGAACAAGGACGUUAGUAACUGAACGUCCCCUGACGGUAUCUAACCAGAAAGCCACGGCUAACUACGUGCCAGCAGCCGCGGUAAUACGUAGGUGGCAAGCGUUGUCCGGAUUUAUUUGGCGUAAAGCGAGCGCAGGCGGUUUCUUAAGUCUGUUGUGAAAGCCCCCGGCUCAACCGGGGAGGGUCAUUGGGAACUGGGAGACUUGAGUGCAGAAGAGGAGAGUGGAAUUCCAUGUGUAGCGGUGAAAUGCGUAGAUAUAUGGAGGAACACCAGUGGCGAAGGCGGCUCUCUGGUCUGUAACUGACGCUGAGGCUCGAAAGCGUGGGGAGCAAACAGG
rnacentral:rRNA from 1 species